ACCUUAACUGCUUCUUGCUUUCCCACGACAGUAUUGUUGUUAUCAGAGGAACUAAAGACCGUACCAACGUCUGUAGGAAUAUUUUCUUUUGUUUGUGCUUCAUUUUUCAUCCGUUUACCAUCAAAACCCUUUCUGAACCAAGGAUUCUCCAUGAUUUUGGUGAUUGAUAUCCUGGUAAUCGGAUUUGGGUCUAGGAUCUUAUAUAGCAGCUUUCGAACAUCAGAGGAGAACCAAGAGGGGCAUUUAAAUUCACCCUUUCCAAUCUUCCUGUACAUCUCCAUCAGAUUUGAAUCAUGGAAAGGAAGAUAACCAGCCAAGAGCACAAACAAAAUCACCCCACAGGACCAGAUAUCAGCUUUUGCCCCAUCAUAUCCUUUUCUGUUGAUCACCUCAAAAGCGACAUAAGCUGGAGUCCCACAAGUAGUGUGGAGUAAGCCAUCCUGCCUCUUAGACUCAGCAAGGGCGCUCAACCCAAAAUCUGAGACUUUUAAACAGCCAUUUUCAUCCAACAGCACAUUUUCAAGCUUCAGAUCACGAUGGUAUAUGCCUCUGCUGUGGCAAUAGUCUACAGCACUGAUCAGCUGUUGGAAGUAUUUUCGUGCGAUAUCCUCCUUGAGCUUGCCUUUGGCAACCUUGUUAAAAAGCUCACCACCUUUAACAUACUCCAUGACAAAGUAAAUCUUGGUCUUGCUUGCCAUGACCUCAUAAAGCUGCACAAUAUUUGGAUGUCUCACCAAUUUCAUUAUUGAGAUCUCUCUUUUGAUCUGAUCUACAAGUCCAACCCUCAUGACCUUCUCUUUGUCGAAAAUCUUUAUAGCAACACUCUGGCCAGUUUUAAGAUUUCUAGCAUAGUGUACCUUUGCAAAGGUUCCUUGUCCUAGUAAUCUCCCCAACUCAAACCUUUGCAUCAAAACAUUCCCUCUAUGUUCCAUUCCUUUUUAUUUUAUCUUGAGAAAAUAAAUGCUACACUAUCCUGCUGUUACAAUGUAUACUGUUUACAAGACUCUAACAGCAGAAGAAUUCAACCGUCGUCACGAAGGUCAUGAUCCAGUGCAACAGGCUUUAUAAUUCUCUUAGUUCCAUUGUGCACUAGCAGAUGGAGCACAAACUG
rnacentral:lncRNA from 1 species